rnacentral:rRNA from 1 species
CUGCUCAAUGAAAAAUUUUAAAUAGCUGCAGUAUAUAUAACUGUACAAAGGUAGCAUAAUAAAUAGUUUUUUAAUUGAAAACUUAAAUGAAAGAUUAAAUGAAAUAUAAAUUUUAUUAAAAAAACAAAUUUAACUUAGAUUUAAAUUUAAAAUAAUUAAAUAAUAAUAUAGACGAGAAGACCCUAUAGAAUUUUUUAUUUUAAAAUAAACUUUAAUUUUAAAAUAUUUUCUUGGGGAAAUAUAAAAAUUUAUAGAAUUUUUUAAAAUAUAAUAACAUAUAAUUGAAUUUAAUAACUUUUUUUUUAAUAAAUAUAUAUAUUUACCUUAGGGAUAACAGUAUAAUUUUUUUUUAAAGAACUUAUUAUAAAUAAAUUAUAUAACCUCGAUGUUGAAUUAAGAU